CCUACGGGAGGCAGCAGUGGGGAAUUUUCCGCAAUGGGCGAAAGCCUGACGGAGCAACGCCGCGUGAGGGAUGAAGGCCUCUGGGCUGUAAACCUCUUUUAUCAAGGAAGAAGAUCUGACGGUACUUGAUGAAUAAGCCACGGCUAAUUCCGUGCCAGCAGCCGCGGUAAUACGGGAGUGGCAAGCGUUAUCCGGAAUUAUUGGGCGUAAAGCGUCCGCAGGCGGUCUUGUAAGUCUGUCGUUAAAGCGUGGAGCUCAACUCCAUUUCGGCGGUGGAAACUACAAGACUAGAGUGUGGUAGGGGCAGAGGGAAUUCCCGGUGUAGCGGUGAAAUGCGUAGAUAUCGGGAAGAACACCAGUGGCGAAGGCGCUCUGCUGGGCCAUAACUGACGCUCAUGGACGAAAGCUAGGGGAGCGAAAGGGAUUAGAUACCCCUGUAGUCCUAGCCGUAAACGAUGAACACUAGGUGUCGGGGGAAUCGACCCCCUCCGGUGUCGUAGCUAACGCGUUAAGUGUUCCGCCUGGGGAGUACGCACGCAAGUGUGAAACUCAAAAUGAAAUUGACGGCUGAGAGNGCGAGACGACACGAGGAGAGG
rnacentral:rRNA from 1 species